GACGAACGCUGGCGGCGUGCUUAACACAUGCAAGUCGAACGCUGAAGCUCAGCUUGCUGGGUGGAUGAGUGGCGAACGGGUGAGUAACACGUGAGUAACCUGCCCUCUUCUUUGGGAUAACGCCCGGAAACGGGUGCUAAUACUGGAUAUUCACUGAUUCUCGCAUGGGGGUUGGUGGAAAGGUUUUUUCUGGUGGGGGAUGGGCUCGCGGCCUAUCAGCUUGUUGGUGGGGUGAUGGCCUACCAAGGCUUUGACGGGUAGCCGGCCUGAGAGGGUGACCGGUCACAUAGGGACUGAGAUACGGCCCAGACUCCUACGGGAGGCAGCAGUGGGGAAUAUUGCACAAUGGGCGAAAGCCUGAUGCAGCGACGCCGCGUGAGGGAUGGAGGCCUUCGGGUUGUAAACCUCUUUCGCUCAUGGUCAAGCCGCAGCUUUGGGUUGUGGUGAGGGUAGUGGGUAAAGAAGCGCCGGCUAACUACGUG
rnacentral:rRNA from 1 species